UACGGAGGAUGCGAGCGUUAUCCGGAUUUAUUGGGUUUAAAGGGUGCGUAGGCGGAGUGCCAAGUCAGCGGUAAAAAUUCGGGGCUCAACCCCGUCGUGCCAUUGAAACUGGCGCCCUUGAGUGGGCGAGAAGUAUGCGGAAUGCGUGGUGUAGCGGUGAAAUGCAUAGAUAUCACGCAGAACCCCGAUUGCGAAGGCAGCGUACCGGCAUCCAACUGACGCUGAGGCACGAAAGCGUGGGGAUCAAACAGG
rnacentral:rRNA from 1 species